rnacentral:rRNA from 1 species
AUAAAAGUAGCAAAUACUUUGGUGGCGACCGGCGCACGGGUGAGUAACGCGUAUGCAACCCAUCUAUCAGAGGGGAAUAACCCGGCGAAAGUCGGACUAAUACCGCAUAAAACAGGGACACCGCAUGGUGAUAUUUGUUAAAGAAAUUCGCUGAUAGAUGGGCAUGCGUUCCAUUAGGUAGUUGGUGAGGUAACGGCUCACCAAGCCGACGAUGGAUAGGGGAACUGAGAGGUUGGUCCCCCACACUGGUACUGAGACACGGACCAGACUCCUACGGGAGGCAGCAGUGAGGAAUAUUGGUCAAUGGGCGAGAGCCUGAACCAGCCAAGUCGCGUGAAGGAAGAAGGAUCUAUGGUUCGUAAACUUCUUUUGCAGGGGAAUAAAGUGCAGGACGUGUCCUGUUUUGUAUGUACCCUGAGAAUAAGGAUCGGCUAACUCCGUGCCAGCAGCCGCGGUAAUACGGAGGAUCCGAGCGUUAUCCGGAUUUAUUGGGUUUAAAGGGUGCGUAGGUGGUUUGAUAAGUCAGCGGUGAAAGUUUGCAGCUUAACUGUAAAAAUGCCGUUGAAACUGUCGGACUUGAGUGUAAAUGAGGUAGGCGGAAUGCGUGGUGUAGCGGUGAAAUGCUUAGAUAUCACGAAGAACUCCGAUUG